rnacentral:tRNA from 1 species
GGUAAAAUGGCCGAGUAGGUAUUAGACUGUAAAUCUAAGGACAGAGGUAAAAAUAGACCCUCUUUUUACCA